CUUCGGCUCAGGUCAUGAUCUCACGGUUGGUGAGUUCCAGCCCCGCGUCGGGCUCUGUGCUGACAGCUGGGAGCCUGGAGCUGCUUCGGAUUCUGUGUCUCCCUCUCUCUCUGCGGAGUAUGCUUCAGAGCGUCUCUUGCUAAUUUUCAGUUACAACUUAGCUUUGUUUUCUGUGUGUGCCACGUCCCGUUCUCGGCACCUGCGUGUGAGCCCAGGGGACUCUCCCUCCCACAGGCAGAGAGAGCAGGUGUGACGAUUAUCAUACCCAUUUUGCAGAUGGAGAAACAGACCUGAUGCUGGAGUGUCUCCCUUGUGUGCUAACAGCCGCGGGUGGCGUCUGGGUCUGGCACACGCUGACCCUCGAGCCGGUUACCUGCGUGCCUCUCUGCUUGGUCCCCAUCGCAGUUUCGAACUUAACAGACUGCUUCUGUAUAACUCAUCUUGAAUUUCUGUCCUGCGGUGUUUGCCCACGGUCUAGAGCAGGGAUUCUUAACGGGACCGCACAUCCCAGGGCACACGGAUCCUCGCUCCCCAGGGACACUUGUUUGGAGUCCUUGGGGCCAUUUCUCCGCACUGCUUCAGACUCCCCCAUCACAUGCGAGCUCCGGACGUCUGCGGGUGUGCGGUGCGGCUGCGGUUCCGCGGGGCAGUGAGCGCGUCAGGCCGGCACCGUGCACCCGCACCUCCAGCCGGUCGUUCGUGGCCUUGGCCGUGACCGCCCGAGCCCGGGGGCCGCUUCAGACCUUGGGAUGUAGCUGUCUCGUUGCCCACCUCUUUGUCCCGCGCCCCUGCCUCCGUUCCCGACCUGGGUUCUCUGCGCCGGUGAGCAGGGCCAGGCCAGCCUCAGCACGAUGGCGACUGCCCCGGUCACACAGCCACCGAGCGGCCGGCUUGCGGCCUGAACCUUUCUGUGCUCCAAGCCGCGUUCUUGGCCGUGCACGAUUUUUUCACUCCAUCCUCCCAUUGUACAAAACGCGUGCGUGGCCGAGCUUCCCGUCUUGUGUUGCCCACACCCGUGGCACCUGGUACUCUCGGGGUCCGUCACACGGCGCCCACUACCGCGACCCUCCGUGGGUCCACCUCACAUGUUGCCCUCUCCAAUGAGACUUUUCCUCCUCCGUCCGCCCAUGAGGCGUCCCCUCCCCUGCCUGGGGCCCAUCUCAGCACGGGGCCAGGGGUGAGGAUGAGUGCCCUCUGCCGGGUCUCUGUUUUGAGGGGGAGGACGGCGUCCUCUGCAUUCCCCUGGACUUUGGAGCACCCGCCGCUCCCUCGCAACGAGCAGUCAGUGGCGCCACCCCAAACGCCACGCACUAGGGCAAGUGAGCAAACACGGUGGGCGGGCUCUCUCUUGUUUUCCCGUUGUUGUUAGAAAUUCAGUUCUUUGGUCAUUGAGAGGCAGCAUAACCGUGAGGCCAGAGGACCCUACCUUUACAGUUGGGGACACAGCAGCGGGCCGUGGGGCAGGCCGCUGGGGGGGGUAUGGGCCCUCUCCCAGGGGGGCUCCCUGCUCGACUCCAGCCACUUCUGCCACGUGGGGAUUUAGGCCUGAUGGGGAUAGAUGGCCAGGCUUUUCCAGGAAAGCUGAAAACUGAGACUUUGUGCACUAUCGCAUAACUUUUAAACAUAGGCAACUGAUUAAAUAUUUCCAAUAUUUGUGGAAGCCAAAAUGAACGACCAAGAUCAAUAAACCGACAGAAAACAAGUCUGCAGGCGGUGGUUGGGAAGCUCUAGUCCCAAAGGCCCUCGUUGGACGUCAGAGAAGGAGUCUCCCUCCUCAAAGUGCCGACCCCUGGCUUCCGAAGAUUAGGUCUGGUAGUUAAAGAAGUUUGAACAACUUGAUGUAGCACAACUCCUUCAUGUCAGUGAUGAGGAAAGAGGCCCAGGAGGGGACAGACCGCCGAGAAGGUAGAAGAGUGUUCCUGAAGAGACAAGCCAUCUGGGAGACCUGGAGCCCAGUCCCGGCUCGAUGACUCUGGCCGUGUGGCUUCAGGCCGGUUGUGCGCUUCUCUGAACCUCCCUUUGCUUUCUUCAGAAGCAGCCUGGAGACUUUACUGCAGGCGCCCUCCUGGAAUCUGCGGCCCCAGGGACAUGGGCAAAAUGGAAAGGAUCUGCGAACUUGGACGGGAAGAUACUAUGUCUUCAAGCUUUUUACCUCUGUUUGCAUUUCCUUCAAUUAUGCAUAUUAGCACCAAAGUACAAUGGCAUUAGCACCUGUGAUUUUGUUACCGAGGCAAACAACCAAAACACUUUUCUGUCUCAUUACAGUUGCAGGUAUCUUGAGAUAAGGUUGAUACUCGUCACUUCAAAAUCACCAUAAAAGUUGCCCGUAGAUCUUGUUUAAUGCGUUCACAAAGGAGCAUGUAAUUCUAUAUCCCACCUCUAAAAUUAUUCUGAUAA